GUUAUCAGCACUCAGCAUGGAAAGAAUCAGAGGUCUGUGGACAGACCCUACGGCUUCUUGGAUGCAUGGGUGAUCUCAGCUAUGGGACUCCCCUCUCUGGCCUCAGACAGCCCAUCUACAAAGCAGGAAUGACCACAGGAGAUGGCAGGGGACAGCCACCGCACAGCUGACGCACCUAAGGCACUCUGCAUCGCACCUGGACCACGGCGGGCGCAUGGUGGGUCUGCGCUGGAGUGAUGUGUCAGUCCUUCUGCGCCUCGAGGAUAUCAAAGCAGAGGCAUGGCUGUCCCUGCAUGGCUGGGAGGGCCCUCUUGGGCACUGGUCAAAUGCUAUGAAAAGAACAUGUCUCAGGAGCCGCUGCCCCUUCAGCCUGGCCUGCAGAAUAAACACGCAUAGAGCAGACUUCACAAGCCCCUGAAGCUGCUGGUCCAAGGAGAAUGAGAGACAUGGAACAGACUCCAACCCAAUCUGCAGCCAGAGCCUAGAGUCCAGGCCAGCCCAGACAAGGUGCA